rnacentral:rRNA from 1 species
UGUAAGCGUAUACCAAGUUGUUGCAGUUAAAACGCUCGUAGUCGGAAUUUGGCAGUUCCGGAUGUGUGCACGUCGUGUGCGCACUUCGCGGGGAUUGCUUUUGUGGUCUUGCGUAGGAUGAGGCACUUUUAUUAGUGAACGUCCUCACGCAACCACUUUUUACUGUGAGAAAAUCAGAGUGCUCAAAGCAGGCAUUUGCCGUGAAUGUAUUAGCAUGGAAUAAUAGAAUAGGACUUGGUUCUAUUUUGUUAGUUUGUUGGGACUGAGUAAUGAUUAAGAGGGACAGUUGGGGGCAUUUGUAUUCCGGCGCUAGAGGUGAAAUUCUUAGAUUGCCGAAAGACAAACUGCUGCGAAAGCGUCUGCCAAGGAUGUUUUCAUUGA